rnacentral:rRNA from 1 species
CGUACACAAAAAUGCACAUGCUGUGAGCUCGAUGAGUAGGGCGGGACACGUGGUAUCCUGUCUGAAUAUGGGGGGACCAUCCUCCAAGGCUAAAUACUCCUGACUGACCGAUAGUGAACCAGUACCGUGAGGGAAAGGCGAAAAGAACCCCGGCGAGGGGAGUGAAAAAGAACCUGAAACCGUGUACGUACAAGCAGUGGGAGCCUCUUUUAUGGGGUGACUGCGUACCUUUUGUAUAAUGGGUCAGCGACUUAUAUUCUGUAGCAAGGUUAACCGAAUAGGGGAGCCGAAGGGAAACCGAGUCUUAACUGGGCGUUAAGUUGCAGGGUAUAGACCCGAAACCCGGUGAUCUAGCCAUGGGCAGGUUGAAGGUUGGGUAACACUAACUGGAGGACCGAACCGACUAAUGUUGAAAAAUUAGCGGAUGACUUGUGGCUGGGGGUGAAAGGCCAAUCAAACCGGGAGAUAGCUGGUUCUCCCCGAAAGCUAUUUAGGUAGCGCCUCGUGAAUUCAUCUCCGGGGGUAGAGCACUGUUUCGGCAAGGGGGUCAUCCCGACUUACCAACCCGAUGCAAACUGCGAAUACCGGAGAAUGUUAUCACGGGAGACACACGGCGGGUGCUAACGUCCGUCGUGAAGAGGGAAACAACCCAGACCGCCAGCUAAGGUCCCAAAGUCAUGGUUAAGUGGGAAACGAUGUGGGAAGGCCCAGACAGCCAGGAUGUUGGCUUAGAAGCAGCCAUCAUUUAAAGAAAGCGUAAUAGCUCACUGGUCGAGUCGGCCUGCGCGGAAGAUGUAACGGGGCUAAACCAUGCACCGAAGCUGCGGCAGCGACGCUUAUGCGUUGUUGGGUAGGGGAGCGUUCUGUAAGCCUGUGAAGGUGUGCUGUGAGGCAUGCUGGAGGUAUCAGAAGUGCGAAUGCUGACAUAAGUAACGAUAAAGCGGGUGAAAAGCCCGCUCGCCGGAAGACCAAGGGUUCCUGUCCAACGUUAAUCGGGGCAGGGUGAGUCGACCCCUAAGGCGAGGCCGAAAGGCGUAGUCGAUGGGAAACAGGUUAAUAUUCCUGUACUUGGUGUUACUGCGAAGGGGGGACGGAGAAGGCUAUGUUGGCCGGGCGACGGUUGUCCCGGUUUAAGCGUGUAGGCUGGUUUUCCAGGCAAAUCCGGAAAAUCAAGGCUGAGGCGUGAUGACGAGGCACUACGGUGCUGAAGCAACAAAUGCCCUGCUUCCAGGAAAAGCCUCUAAGCAUCAGGUAACAUCAAAUCGUACCCCAAACCGACACAGGUGGUCAGGUAGAGAAUACCAAGGCGCUUGAGAGAACUCGGGUGAAGGAACUAGGCAAAAUGGUGCCGUAACUUCGGGAGAAGGCACGCUGAUAUGUAGGUGAAGCGACUUGCUCGUGGAGCUGAAAUCAGUCGAAGAUACCAGCUGGCUGCAACUGUUUAUUAAAAACACAGCACUGUGCAAACACGAAAGUGGACGUAUACGGUGUGACGCCUGCCCGGUGCCGGAAGGUUAAUUGAUGGGGUCAGCGCAAGCGAAGCUCUUGAUCGAAGCCCCGGUAAACGGCGGCCGUAACUAUAACGGUCCUAAGGUAGCGAAAUUCCUUGUCGGGUAAGUUCCGACCUGCACGAAUGGCGUAAUGAUGGCCAGGCUGUCUCCACCCGAGACUCAGUGAAAUUGAACUCGCUGUGAAGAUGCAGUGUACCCGCGGCAAGACGGAAAGACCCCGUGAACCUUUACUAUAGCUUGACACUGAACAUUGAGCCUUGAUGUGUAGGAUAGGUGGGAGGCUUUGAAGUGUGGACGCCAGUCUGCAUGGAGCCGACCUUGAAAUACCACCCUUUAAUGUUUGAUGUUCUAACGUUGACCCGUAAUCCGGGUUGCGGACAGUGUCUGGUGGGUAGUUUGACUGGGGCGGUCUCCUCCUAAAGAGUAACGGAGGAGCACGAAGGUUGGCUAAUCCUGGUCGGACAUCAGGAGGUUAGUGCAAUGGCAUAAGCCAGCUUGACUGCGAGCGUGACGGCGCGAGCAGGUGCGAAAGCAGGUCAUAGUGAUCCGGUGGUUCUGAAUGGAAGGGCCAUCGCUCAACGGAUAAAAGGUACUCCGGGGAUAACAGGCUGAUACCGCCCAAGAGUUCAUAUCGACGGCGGUGUUUGGCACCUCGAUGUCGGCUCAUCACAUCCUGGGGCUGAAGUAGGUCCCAAGGGUAUGGCUGUUCGCCAUUUAAAGUGGUACGCGAGCUGGGUUUAGAACGUCGUGAGACAGUUCGGUCCCUAUCUGCCGUGGGCGCUGGAGAACUGAGGGGGGCUGCUCCUAGUACGAGAGGACCGGAGUGGACGCAUCACUGGUGUUCGGGUUGUCAUGCCAAUGGCACUGCCCGGUAGCUAAAUGCGGAAGAGAUAAGUGCUGAAAGCAUCUAAGCACGAAACUUGCC